rnacentral:lncRNA from 1 species
AUGAGAAAAAUGUCUGGAGGAAGAGAGAAACUCCAAUUACACACAAUGAAUAGGAUAGAAUUCUCAUGGGCCUGGAAGAGAAUCAUAAAGGGUCUCUUAGUCCAUUUCCAUUCUCCCAGUGUCAGCUUCUGGGAUCCUCAUAGGCUCCAAACAGGGUCACCAGCAAGGGUCACCAGCAAGCCCUCAUCCGGUGUUUUGGGGGCCCCACCCAGCGAAACACCUGAAAGUCUUAGGAGAGAAGAUGAAGCAGGAAGGCAAUUGCCUUUGUGUAAAUUGGGCACAAGGGCAUCUGGAGCACAAUUUCGCAUUUGCAGCAUUCUGAAAAUGUGUAACGCAAGUGAAAAAAGAUGUGUUUGCCAUACAAAGCUAUUCAUCUUUAUGUUGGUUUAAAGAUUACUGGAAGAAACCAGAAGGCAAUCAGGAAUGGAUUUAGGAUAUGUAGAAGCCUUCUGCAAGACCCGAGGAAAACAAUUUUUGUCCAAAUCUGAAGAGAAAGAGGUUAAGGUAAUUUACUCGGCAGUAAUUUAUUCAUUCAAUAAUACAGAAGAUAAUUAUGUAUUUUUCUACCCUGAGACAUUAUUCUUAUUGUUUUACUCCUCUGUCUGCAAGCUCAGUCCACAAGAGGAAGCUU